AUGGCUGCUCAGGGAGAGCCCCAGGUCCAGUUCAAACUUGUAUUGGUUGGUGAUGGUGGUCCUUGAAAAACGACCUUCGUGAAACAUCAUUUGACUGGUGAAUUUGAGAAGAAGUAUGUAGCCACCUUGGGUGCUGAGGUUCAUCCCCUAGUGUUCCACAUCAACAGAGGACCUAUUAAAUUCAAUGUAGGGGACACAGCCGGCCAGGAGAAAUUCGGCGGACUGAGAGAUGGCUAUUAUAUCCAAGCCCAGUGUGUCAUCAUAAUGUUUGACGUAACAUCGAGAGUUACUUACAAGAAUGUGCCUAACUGGCACAGAGAUCUGGUACGAGUGUGUGAAAACAUCCCCAUUGUGUUGUGUGGCAACAAAGUGGAUAUUAAGGACAGGAAAGUGAAGGCGAAAUCCAUUGGCUUCCACUGAAAGAAGAAUCUUCAGUACUACGACAUAUCUGCCAAAAGUAACUACAACUUUGAAAAGCCCUUCCCUCUGGCUUGCUAGGAAGCUCAUUGGAGACCCUAACUUGGAAUUUGUUGCCAUGCCUGCUCUUGCCUCACUGGAAGUUGUCAUGGACGCGGCUUUGGCAGCACAGUAUGAGCACAACUUAGAGGUUGCUCAGACAACUGCUCUCGCGGAUGAGGAUGAUGACCUGUGAGAAUGGAGCUGGAGCCCAGCGUCAGAAGUCUAGUUUUAUAGGCAGCUGUCCUGUGAUGUCAGCAGUGCAGCGUGUGUGCCACCUCAUUAUUAUCUAGCUAAGCGGAACAUGUGCUUCAUCUGUGGGAUGCUGAAGGAAAUGAGUGGGCUUUGGAGUGAAUGUGGCAGUUUAAAAAAUACCUUCAUUGUUUGGACCUGCAUAUUUAGCUGUUUUGGAACGCAGCUGAUUCCUUGAGUUUCAAAUAUAAGACUGCUACAGUCACAUCACAAUAUUCAGUGGUGAAAUCUUGUUUGUUACUGUCAUUCCCAUUCCUUUUCGUUUAGAAUCAGAAUAAAGUUGUAUUUCAAAUAU